GGAAGAGAAGAGAAUGGAAAGAGAAAGGGAAAAGGUUCUUGAUAUUCUUUAUUACUUCUCUUUUUUAUGAACUUGGUAUCAAAAUUAUGUAUAUUAAUACCUUUUUCAAGCAUGUUGCCCACUUUUUCCCCUUUGCACUUACGAAUUGCUGUAUCAAUGAAGCGUAUUUGAAAACCUCAGGAGAUAAAUGUCUUGUUUGACUUUUAUCCUUGUCACAAACCUAAGACCAGCAGCUUGCCAUGCUUUUACCUUUUCUUAGUGCACACAUUUUAGAAGGGGAAAAGAAGCUACUUUUCAUUUUAACAGAGUGUAGACAUUAUGAACUUAGAUCACUUCAUUGGCAUUCCAUUCUUAGAAGAACGGCACUGGCGCUAGUGCAACAAAUGUAGUACGAAAAGAAAGAGAUGAUCUGAUAGGAGAUUACUGUAAUACAUAAACAUGGUGGCUUCAUGCUUAAUUUUCUUGCCAUCGGUGUCUGUGUUAAACUCUAUGCUGCAUCUAUGGUGUUCCAAGUUUAUAAUUUAACUUCUUAUUGAAGCGUUAUCACAUAAAAAUGGAUUGUUUCUACAUAGUCUGGUGCUUACUGAUGUAUGGAUGAAAGAGAGUUUAAAUUCCCAAAUAUAAUCUCCACAAUUCAAGCACAAAUAGGUGAAUAGCAAGUUGAAUAAUAUUAUCUGCGGAGAUAAAUGAAUUUUCUCACAGAAUUUUAUAUUUUCUUAAAGCAUGUUUCAUAAAAAAAGCAAAUCUUUAUAAAUGGAGCAUUAUGUGUCUUUGCUUAAGCCUCCUUGGGAGGUUAAUUCUUAUUUAGAAUUCUAUCUCCUGGAUACUACAGGAAGCCUUCCCAUUAUGACAUGUUUUCUUGUAACUUAAUAACCUUCUUUUGUAUAUUUAUUAUGUCUUGAGAACAUACUUAUAGUACUGUUUUAAGGAGAGAAUUCGAAUUGGCGAGGAACUCCUAGAAGCAAAACGAAUUGAAGAAGAAAAUGAAAGAAAACGGUUUGUCUUCAUCUAAUGCUUUUUUUGUUGUAGUUUAUUGUGUUUGUGUUUAGUAUGGUGUUAAAUGCUGUUUUCUUGCAUUAGUUGUUCGGAUGAAUGAUUCAUCAUUCCCUCUCAGUUUGCUGGCCUUAUGAAAGGCAGAGAAAGAGGAAGAGAAGAGGGCUAGGGAAAAAAUUCGUCUGAAGUUAGAAGAGGACAAGGCAGAAAGAAGA
rnacentral:misc_RNA from 1 species